GACAGAGGUGCCGAGCGUUAGGCGGAAUCACUGGGCUUAAAGCGUGUGUAGGUGGAUGCCUAAGUACCUUGUGAAAUCCCACGGCUUAACCGUGGAACUGCUUGGUAUACUGGGUGUCUUGAGCCAGCUAGGGGCUACCGGAACAAAUGGUGGAGCGGUGAAAUGCGUAGAUAUCAUUUGGAACGCCAAUGGUGAAAACAGGUAGCUGGGGCUGUGCUGACACUGAGACACGAAAGCCAGGGGAGCAAACGGG
rnacentral:rRNA from 1 species